AUUGAACGCUGGCGGCGUGCCUAAUACAUGCAAGUAGAACGCAGUUUCGAACGGGUGAGUAACGCGUAGGUAACUGCCUCAUUGCGGGGGAUAACUAUUGGAAACGAUAGCUAAUACCGCCUACUGUGAGCUGGACCUGCGUUGUAUUAGCUAGUUGGGGAGGUAAAGGCUCACCAAGGCGACGAUACCUACCCGAGCUGAGAGGGUGAACGGGCAAAACGGGACGUAGACACGGGCCAGACUCCUACGGGAGGCAGCAGUAGGGAAUCUUCGGCAAUGGACGGAAGUCUGACCGAGCAACGCCGCGGGAGUGGAGAAGGUUUUCGGGUCGUAAAGCUCUGUUGUGAGAGAAGCGGUAACUAACGAGAAAGGAACGGCUAACUACGUGCCAGCAGCCGCGGUAAUAC
rnacentral:rRNA from 1 species